GGUUUGUGGAGGGUGGCAUCUGUGGUCCUGGUUCCCCUAUACUUGCUCUGGCAUGGCUGACACUGAGGCGAGGCCCAGCAUACCAAGGAGUUAAAAGUGAAAAUCUUUGGAGAAGAACCACUCUGACAAACAGGCUUCCUUCUCACAGCACGAUGGGAGAACACGGGACACGUGGACGUAAGAGAGCAGGUCAACGUCAUCUGUCUUGAUUUCAGAAGGGGUCUGGAGACUCCUUGUCGUUCCCAUAAGCAAGUCAGUCAAACGCGAUCCCAGUAAGCCACAUCAGGUUCUUCUGCUUUACUCAGCACUGGGAAUGCCACAGCUGGCCUCUGUCCUGCCCUCAGUGACACUUUUCCAGAAGAGAGCAAUGCAAGUGCCCAGGGAUGCAGAAUUGUCAGCUAUGGAAAAGAAAGAAGCACCACAGCCCUUCCUAACCUAAAGGAGAAAGCAGUACAGAGGUAGAUCUGGGCUCCAUCCAUUUCUGAGGACGUUUUUGUGGUUGAGGAGCAGAGAGAAGGCUGUGGCUGAGAUCCUAUCGCGCACUGUUGAUCUCAGCCAAUAUGUUUUCUGAUCUAAGUCUGAAGUCUAACCUUCACAGUGUUAGUGUUAUUGGCUGAACAUUAACUCCAUCCAGUUAUACAUAAGUCAGCUUUUUGCUGGCACAGCCAUAGUGGUGCUGCACACUGCUCUGGUCAUUCUGACUCAGCCUUUCCCUUCCACUCAGUGGUGUAGGAUCAGUGGGACACCUCCAGCUUGUCUUGGUCCUUGGCCAAUCUCAGCCCACAGUUGCCACACUGAGUGUUUUUCAUGGUCAGUUGGCACAGCUUGGACCUCUGGGGGCUGUGCAAAGAGUGCACGUCCUGGAGGUGUGCUCCGGGCAUCCCUCAUUUAGUAUGAAGCUACUAAAAAGCUAAUGAAUUUGUAUAGAUGGUGAAACAGCAGCAGAUCUACCCAGCGCUGUGCGGGACUGCACGUAAUGGAGGCAGGUUCAACAAUGGGCAUUUGUAAUGUCCAUGAUGGCAAUGGUAUGGCUUUGCUGAAUUAAUUCUGCCUGGAAUUGGAAUAUACGGACACACAUACACACAUACACAUAAUUAGGAGGAGAAAGUCCACUUAAUUUGAAAAAUGUGUAGUAGCAAAGGCUGUACCACAUCUUCUGGCAAAUUGUUGCAGUAAUUAAUCACUGUCAUUGUUAAGAGCGGACUGUUGUGUUUUAUUUAAUGGACAGUGCCUAAUAUACCUUUUCCUUGC
rnacentral:lncRNA from 7 species